CCCGCCAGAGGUCGGCCGUCCGCCGCGUGCUCAAAGGGAUGGCCCGUCCGCUGCCGUACAUCAUCUACGGCCCGCCGGGCUCCGGCAAAACGGUGACGGUGGUGGAGUGCAUCCUCCAGGUGUACACUAUGUGCCCUAACAGUCGCCUGCUGGUGGCCACGCCCUCCAACAGCGCCGCCGAUCUCAUCACGGAGAGGCUGCACGCCAGCGGCGC